GAUGAACGCUGGCGGCGUGCCUAAUACAUGCAAGUCGAGCGAACAGAUAAGGAGCUUGCUCCUUUGACGUUAGCGGCGGACGGGUGAGUAACACGUGGGUAACCUACCUAUAAGACUGGGAUAACUUCGGGAAACCGGAGCUAAUACCUGAUAACAUUUGGAACCGCAUGGUUCUAAAGUGAAAGAUGGUUUUGCUAUCACUUAUAGAUGGACCCGCGCCGUAUUAGCUAGUUGGUAAGGUAACGGCUUACCAAGGCGACGAUACGUAGCCGACCUGAGAGGGUGAUCGGCCACACUGGAACUGAGACACGGUCCAGACUCCUACGGGAGGCAGCAGUAGGGAAUCUUCCGCAAUGGGCGAAAGCCUGACGGAGCAACGCCGCGUGAGUGAUGAAGGGUUUCGGCUCGUAAAACUCUGUUAUUAGGGAAGAACAAAUGUGUAAGUAACUGUGCACGUCUUGACGGUACCUAAUCAGAAAGCCACGGCUAACUACGUG
rnacentral:rRNA from 1 species